GUUUAUUAAAUGAAAUCCAUAUUUGACAUACAUAUUCGUUGAACUUCUGAGGUUUACAGUUUUAUCAUCAGUUCACCAGUAGUCUUAGCCAAACUAUUUUGCAUUUUCUUUAAUGUAAGAGUUGGUUUAGACAACAAAAGUGGUACAAAACUACAUAAAGUACUUCCUGCGUGAAGAGACUGGAGAUAGAGAUAGAAAAGAAAUUGGGCCUACCCUGCCUAAACAUUUAAAAACACACCAGAAAAUCUGCAAAGCAGUCAUUUUGCCGCUUCGCCAGCAUCAGGUUUAAAUAUGUGCCAUGGAGGUCGUUGUUGGCAUAACUAAAUGUGAUAAUGAGCAGUGAAAAUGACAUGAAAUGUGACAUUUCCUGACACUUAUAUCAGCGACCGCUGACUUCCCAUUCGCUCAAAACAUUGUUCAUGUUAUGGUUUAAUUACAGCAUGCUAUUUCCAUACAAUCCUAAAUCAUGUUCUUGUAUUGGGACAACACCACAUCAUCACCGUUACUUCAUUCUCAGAGUAAUGCGCAAUCGUAACAGUUCUGGAGAAGAAACACCAAGCAAAAAAAAAAA